CGGUGGUCGGAUCUCACCUACUUCGUACGUGUCUUAACUUCUCCGGCAGGACAUCAGAAAUGAUACUUCUAACUUUUCUUCCUGGAUCAUGUCUUGAGCAGGACGGCGGAAGAUGCGCAUAGAAAUUCUAUGUGAACUUUAUUGAUCUUAAAGCACAUAGCGCGCCCGCAGAAAGAUAACGGAUGAGAUGAGUUUACGAUGGCCACGCGGAUGGCAGAUACUGUA
rnacentral:lncRNA from 1 species